rnacentral:rRNA from 1 species
GCUUAACACAUGCAAGUCGAGGGGCAGCACAGAGAUAGCUUGCUAUCUUGGGUGGCGACCGGCGCACGGGUGAGUAACGCGUAUCCAACCUGCCCAUUACUCAGGGAUAGCCUUGCGAAAGUAAGAUUAAUACCUGAUGUUGUUAAAAACCCGCAUGAGUUUUUAACCAAAGAUUUAUUGGUAAUGGAUGGGGAUGCGUGACAUUAGGUAGUUGGUGAGGUAACGGCUCACCAAGCCCACGAUGUCUAGGGGUUCUGAGAGGAAGGUCCCCCACACUGGAACUGAGACACGGUCCAGACUCCUACGGGAGGCAGCAGUGAGGAAUAUUGGUCAAUGGCCGGGAGGCUGAACCAGCCAAGUAGCGUGAAGGAUGAAGGUUCUAUGGAUUGUAAACUUCUUUUAUACGGGAAUAAAACCUCCCACGUGUGGGAGCUUGUAUGUACCGUAUGAAUAAGCAUCGGCUAACUCCGUGCCAGCAGCCGCGGUAAUACGGAGGAUGCGAGCGUUAUCCGGAUUUAUUGGGUUUAAAGGGAGCGUAGACGGGAUGUUAAGUCAGUUGUGAAAGGCUGCGGCUCAACCGCAGCACUGCAGUUGAUACUGGUUUCCUUGAGUGCGGUUGAGGUGUAUGGAAUUCGUGGUGUAGCGGUGAAAUGCUUAGAUAUCACGAA